GAAUUCGCCCUUAGAGUUUGAUCCUGGCUCAGGAUGAACGCUGGCGGCGUGCUUAACACAUGCAAGUCGAACGGGAAUUACUUUAUUGAAACUUCGGUCGAUUUAAUUUAAUUCUAGUGGCGGACGGGUGAGUAACGCGUGGGUAACCUGCCUUAUACAGGGGGAUAACAGUCAGAAAUGGCUGCUAAUACCGCAUAAGCGCACAGAGCUGCAUGGCUCAGUGUGAAAAACUCCGGUGGUAUAAGAUGGACCCGCGUUGGAUUAGCUUGUUGGCGGGGUAACGGCCCACCAAGGCGACGAUCCAUAGCCGGCCUGAGAGGGUGAACGGCCACAUUGGGACUGAGACACGGCCCAGACUCCUACGGGAGGCAGCAGUGGGGGAUAUUGCACAAUGGGGGAAACCCUGAUGCAGCGACGCCGCGUGGAGGAAGAAGGUUUUCGGAUUGUAAACUCCUGUCGUUAGGGACGAUAAUGACGGUACCUAACAAGAAAGCACCGGCUAACUACGUGCCAGCAGCCGCGGUAAAACGUAGGGUGCAAGCGUUGUCCGGAAUUACUGGGUGUAAAGGGAGCGCAGGCGGACCGGCAAGUUGGAAGUGAAAACUAUGGGCUCAACCCAUAAAUUGCUUUCAAAACUGCUGGCCUUGAGUAGUGCAGAGGUAGGUGGAAUUCCCGGUGUAGCGGUGGAAUGCGUAGAUAUCGGGAGGAACACCAGUGGCGAAGGCGACCUACUGGGCACCAACUGACGCUGAGGCUCGAAAGCAUGGGUAGCAAACAGGAUUAGAUACCCUGGUAGUCCAUGCCGUAAAC
rnacentral:rRNA from 1 species